UACGUAGGGUGCAAGCGUUAAUCGGAAUUACUGGGCGUAAAGCGUGCGCAGGCGGUUCGUUGUGUCGGUGGUGAAAGCCCCGGGCUUAACCUGGGAAUGGCCAUGGAAACUGGCGAACUGGAGUGUGGCAGAGGGGGGUGGAAUUCCGCGUGUAGCAGUGAAAUGCGUAGAGAUGCGGAGGAACACCGAUGGCGAAGGCAGCCCCCCUGGGCUAGCACUGACGCUCAUGCACGAAAGCGUGGGGAGCAAACAGG
rnacentral:rRNA from 1 species